rnacentral:rRNA from 1 species
UACGUAGGGGGCAAGCGUUGUCCGGAAUCAUUGGGCGUAAAGCGCGCGUAGGCGGCCCGGUAAGUCCGCUGUAAAAGUCCAGGGCUCAACCCUGGAAAGCCGGUGGAAACUGUCGGGCUAGAGUCCGGAAGAGGCGAGUGGAAUUCCUGGUGUAGCGGUGAAAUGCGCAGAUAUCAGGAAGAACACCAAUGGCGAAGGCAGCUCUCUGGGACGGUACUGACGCUGAGACGCGAAAGCGUGGGGAGCGAACAGG